GGCAUAAAUCAAAUGGCAAAGACAUCCAGCAGGUGUGACAUGAGAACACAUGUGAAAUACGCAAAAACAUAUUGUACGUUAGUGUUUUUUCACGUGUUCUCAGGUCGCCCCUGUAGGAUUUCUAUUGCUCGAAACAUGUUUGAAAUGUGAGAAUCGAGUACUAAUUGAUCUUGUAAUGAACAGCUGAUAUUUUGUUGUUUUUAUUUGUUUUCAGGACUGGCAUAUUGUUGCAAAGCUUCUCGAGAUACACUCAUUUUUAUUUAAGUGGAGAGAUCGAGCAAGAAUCCUCAAGUAACGUAGUAAGAAGCAAAAAGCAUCAAAAAAAUUGAUAGUUAAGGGUUUUGGGCCACGGGCUAAGUUAAGGUCCACCAAAAGAAGUACCCAACCCAUGGAUCAAUUGUUGGACAGUGUAAUUUGUCUCGUACUAUAUUUUAAUGUGUAUAAAUUUAUUGUAUCCUACUUAUUUACGGUACUUGCUAGUUGCCGAAUAAAAUUUGUUGCUUAUAAUAAAGUCAUUAUUUUGUAUAAA